rnacentral:lncRNA from 1 species
AUUCUUCUUUGACAAUGACUGGUGCAGAAUUUUAUCAAACAGCUCGCCUCUCCCCUUCUUCACUCAAGUAUUUUGGACUUUGCUUGCGCAGAGGUAGCUACAGAGUGCGUCUCCAUUUUGCCGAAAUAAUGUAUACUGAUGACUCCACCUUUAGCAGCCUUGGAAGGCGGAUAUUUGACGUGGCAAUCCAGGUAAGUUGAUUCCCUAAUUUUCCAACAGACAUCUAUGACUACCACUUUCUUGGUUAAUUCAUUCCAUCUUUGGAUAUUUUGUUGUUUCAUGACUUAUUCCUCAGGAUUUUCUAGGAUCCCCUUCUCUCUCUCAAUUUUCUAUAGAUGGUUGGUGUUCAUUUGACUUUUAUGCAGGGGGAGGUUGUUUUGACAGACUUUGAUAUUGUGAAGGAAGCUAAUGGAGUUAGGAAAGGUAUUUACAGGGAUUUUAAUGUCCUCGUCAAUGGAAGUACACUGGAGAUCCAUUUGUACUGGACAGGGAAGGGCACCACAGCCAUCCCCGACAGAGGGGUAUAUGGACCCUUGAUAUCUGCAAUAGCUGUGACACCAAGUAAGUGUACUGUUAUUUUGUGUGGUCCACUGUCCUUUUCCACUGCCUCAUAAUGAGACCUUCUCUCUUUCCAUGCAGACUUUGAUCCUGAUACGGGGGGACUAUCUGCUGGAGCUAUCGCUGGGAUUGUAGUUUCUUCAUGUGUGGUAGGGUUUUCUAUUGUAGCUGCACUUUGGAUGAAAGGUUAUCUUGGAGGAAAAGAUGUUGAAGAUAAAGGUGAAAUUUUUGUUUUUGUAUAGUUUGCUGAACUAUUAGCAUAAUCAUAACUCUUAGAUCAGUAAUAGAUCAAGUUUCCUUCCAAAAUUCUUAAACGUUCUCUUCUUCUGCCUCUUGUUCUUCUUUAUUCUUCUGCUUUUCCCUACAUCUCUCUGGUUGUGCGCACUACUCUUGUUUCAGUGUUCAUACUGUACAAGCCUUAGUCACUGAACAAUUUCAUGUUAUCUUCUCGAGACAGAACUUCGAGCCCUUGAUCUACAGACAGGUCACUUUACCCUGAGACAAAUUAAAUCUGCUACAAACAACUUCGACCAUGCCAACAAGAUUGGAGAAGGAGGAUUUGGCCCUGUGUAUAAGGUUUUAAUUUUUUCAUCUUUCAGUUGUUGAUAAGGAUGAAAUCUAAUAAUUAAUAUCCCAUGCACAUAACCUGAAUUUUAUCUUUUUUUUAGGGUGUACUGUCAGAUGGUACUAUUAUUGCUGUGAAGCAACUCUCAUCCAAGUCGAAGCAAGGAAACCGUGAAUUUGUUAAUGAAAUAGGCAUGAUAUCUGCUCUACAACAUGACAACCUUGUCAGGCUCUAUGGGUGCUGUAUAGAAUCAAAUCAGUUGCUUCUGAUAUAUGAAUACCUGGAAAAUAAUUCUCUUGCUCGAGCACUUUUUGGUAAAUACUUUGCCAGCUUAUCUACCUGUUAAAAGCAUCUUUGAUUUUUUCUUGCCUUUCAACUUCCGUGUUCUUUCAUUUAGGUCGUGAGGAGCAACGGUUAAACCUUGACUGGUCUACUAGAAAGAAAAUAUGCUUAGGAAUAGCUAAAGGUCUGGCUUAUCUUCAUGAGGAAUCUCGGUUAAAAAUCGUCCAUAGAGACAUAAAGGCUACAAAUGUGCUUCUCGACAAGGAUCUAAAUGCCAAGAUAUCAGACUUUGGUUUGGCUAAGCUUGAUGAAGAAGAAAACACCCACAUCAGUACGCGAAUUGCUGGAACUAUGUGAGCUUUUUCCUCUCCAUAUUCGAUUCUUAAAUAUGGUUCUGUCAAAAGGGUGGCGGCUGUAUGUAGAAUAUUUGUACAUAACUUGUUCCUUGGUUAACUGAUGUCAAUAAAGUACAGAUGUUAGGCUUCAGAUCUUAUGAUGGGUGCAGAUAAUUUUCACCAAUUACUAAGAUUCAAUUUCUUUGACAGCAAUUGUUACAGUGGGACGAUUUCAAUAUAAUCCUUCAUAACAUUUUCUUACUUUACCUUAAAAGUGAAUGAACCGAAUUUAUUAUUUGGUGUUUAGGUCAGGUGUUUUUAUGGGGAUUACUGUCGUGAAUGAAGAUAUAUAAUAUAAGCCGCUCCAAUUGUUAGUUUGUAGUCCAUUAUCAUCUGUCAGCACUAAGUCACUGACCAAAUUUAUAUUUCCAGAGGUUAUAUGGCUCCUGAAUAUGCGAUGAGGGGUUAUUUGACAGACAAAGCAGACAUCUACAGCUUUGGAGUAGUUGCGCUAGAAAUUGUCAGCGGAAAAAGUAACACCAAUUACAGACCAAAAGAGGAUUUCGUCUACCUUCUUGAUUGGGUAAAAUAUGUUUUACGUGGUUUAUGCAAAUUUUGCUCAGUUCUCUUCAUUUCACCAUUUUCUUGAUUCUAAACGUGUUUUUGUCUCUUACAUUGGCUGAAUGUGAAGGCUUAUGUCCUACAAGAGCAAGGUAAUCUUUUAGACCUCGUGGACCAUAUUCUCAGUUCGAACUAUUCUGAAGAAGAGGCGAUGCGGAUGUUAAAUUUGGCGCUGUUGUGCACAAAUCCAUCUCCUUCACUUAGACCGGCUAUGUCUUCCGUGGUGAGAAUGCUCGAAGGCAAAAUCCCAGUCCAAGCACCAAAAAUAAUGCGUCGUACGCCAAGUGAGGGGAUUAGAUUUAAAGCAUUCGAGAAACUCUCACAAGAUAGCCAAACGCAUGUAUCGACAUACUCGCAGGAUAGUAAGGAACACAAUAGUGUUUCGAGAGAUGGACCAUGGAUUGAUUCGUCGAUCUCUUCUUUAAGCAAGGAUGAAACUCAGGAUCAUUCUGCAGCAAGUAGGCUGCUUCCUGAUCUUUAUGAUGUAAAUUUAGAUUAACUGAUGAUGCGUACUAGAGAAAUUUGUUUAUCUGAUUCUCGUACUAAUGUUUUCUUGGAAUUUCCGAAUGAUUAGUAGAAGGAAAAACUUUUGGUGGUUUUAUUACCGUUUUCAGUGGAAGUGUCGACGGUCCAGUUUCUUGCGUUUUCUGUAUUAUUCAGUUGAGUUUAGUUUGUGGUCGUUAUUGCUCAAAUAUUCUUGUACUUUAACAGGAACUUAGUUGCCAGCCAUUCAACUUCCACCAGUGACUCGUGAGUUCCUUGAAAUUCUUAUCAAUGUUUUGCCCUUUUUCUGUCAUUCUGCCAUUUCUUCCUGAUACUGUAGAAGUUUCUAACCUUUUUAUUUCACAGAACUAUAUGGUGUUUGAAGAGGGACCUCCCGUGCCCUGGAAAACCCAAUUGUAAGGGGUAUUGCUAUUACCAUAAGACAAUAAAUAUCAAUUCGAAGUUUGAUUGGCUAUGACUCAGUUGCCACCAUUCUUAUUACACCUGCAGAUUAUUCAUUGUUUAUAAAUUGCGGUGGAAGAAAGAUUACCUUCGAAGGAAAUGAAUAUGAAGAGAACUUAAGUGCGGAUGGUCCGUCAUACUUUGAGUCCCAUGAUAGAUGGGCUUAUAGCAGUACAGGGCUGUUCAUGGGGGAGGAUGAUGCCAAAUUUGUUGCAACAAACAAUUCUUCUUUGACAAUGACUGGUGCAGAAUUUUAUCAAACAGCUCGCCUCUCCCCUUCUUCACUCAAGUAUUUUGGACUUUGCUUGCGCAGAGGCAGCUACAGAGUGCGUCUCCAUUUUGCCGAAAUAAUGUAUACUGAUGACUCCACCUUUAGCAGCCUUGGAAGGCGGAUAUUUGACGUGGCAAUCCAGGUAAGUUGAUUCCCUAAUUUUCCAACAGACAUCUAUGACUACCACUUUCUUGGUUAAUUCAUUCCAUCUUUGGAUAUUUUGUUGUUUCAUGACUUAUUCCUCAGGAUUUUCUAGGAUC